rnacentral:rRNA from 1 species
ACCUACGGGGGGCAGCAGUGGGGAAUAUUGCACAAUGGGGGAAACCCUGAUGCAGCAACGCCGCGUGAAGGAAGACGGUUUUCGGAUUGUAAACUAUUGUCAUCAGGGAAGAUAAAAGACAGUACCUGAGGAGGAAGCUCCGGCUAACUAUGUGCCAGCAGCCGCGGUAAUACAUAGGGAGCAAGCGUUAUCCGGAUUUAUUGGGUGUAAGGGGUGCGUAGACGGGAAAGCAAGUUAGUUGUGAAAUCCCUCGGCUUAACUGAGGAACUGCAACUACAACUGUUUUUCUUGAGUGUCGGAGAGGA